UACGUAGGAGGCGAGCGUUGUCCGGAGUUACUGGGCGUAAAGGGUGCGCAGGCGGCCUACCGCGUGGGGGGUGAAAUCGCUCGGCUCAACCGGGCGGGUGCUUUCCAGACGGGUAGGCUUGAGGGGCGGAGAGGGGCGCGGAAUUCCGGGUGGAGCGGUGAAAUGCGUAGAGAUCCGGAAGAACACCGACGGCGAAGGCAGCGCCCUGGACGCCAUCUGACGCUCAUGCACGAAAGCGCGGGGAGCGAACAGG
rnacentral:rRNA from 2 species